rnacentral:sRNA from 2 species
UGCUGGUGAUAAUACCGAUCACCCUGACGAGGAUACGAAUGGGGGUUUGGACCUAGGCGCAACCGAGGUUGAUGACGAUGACGAUGAAUAUGACGAUGGUGAUGACGAUGAUGAUGAUGACAGGGAAGCGGAGCUGACCAGAGCCGCCUUGAGAGGCCUCCAGGAGGCAAUGGAGAGGACUAAGAAGAGGGACAAUUAUGCCAAAGAGAUAGAGAAAUGCAUUGGCGAGGAGGAAAGGAGGCUUGAAGGGCUUAUGAAGGCGG